GUUUGCUUUUUUGCAGGUCUACCUAAACUGGAAGCAGCCUGUGUUCCAUCAGGUUAUGUAUGGGACAUUGGUCGCUGUUCUAGUCUUACGCUCGGUGUAUAUAGUGUUAUGGGUCUACCCUUGGCUCCGAGGGUUGGGAUACACAUCCCUGACUGUUUUUUUGCUGGGCUUCCUCCUUUGGAACGUAGACAACAUUUUCUGCGAGAAAUUGCGGUAGGUGAAUUUGGGGGGGCUUUUCCGUCCACUU